rnacentral:rRNA from 1 species
GCCUAGCCCUAAACCUUGGUAAUAUAUCACAUACCCUGCCCGCCUGGGAACUACGAGCACCAGCUUAAAACCCAAAGGACUUGGCGGUGCUUUAGACCCCCCUAGAGGAGCCUGUUCUAGAACCGAUAACCCCCGUUCAACCUCACCCUUCCUUGUUUAUCCCGCCUAUAUACCGCCGUCGUCAGCUUACCCUGUGAAGGCCUAAAAGUAAGCACAACUGGUACAACCCAAAACGUCAGGUCGAGGUGUAGCGCAUGGAAGGGGAAGAAAUGGGCUACAUUCCCUACAUUAGGGAACACGAACGGCGCACUGAAACACGCGCCUGAAGGAGGAUUUAGUAGUAAGCGGAAAAUAGCGUGUUCCACUGAAAUCGGCCCUGAAGCGCGC